UGACCUAUGGUGUAACUGGCAACACGUCUGAUUCUGGAUCAGAAGAGUCUAGGUUCGACCCCUAGUAGGUCAACAA
rnacentral:tRNA from 1 species